GUGUUUCCCAUGUGGUAUUGGUGUGCUGGAUAUCCCUUCACUGGUAGCCUGGUAACAUACACUCCCAGGUCUUUCUCUGCCUCUGUGGUGGAUAGUGGAGUGUUUCCCAUGUGAUAUUGGUGUACUGGAUAUCCCUUCACUAGUAGCCUGGUAACAUACACUCCCAGGUCUUUCUCUGCCUCUGUGGUGGAUAGUGGAGUGUUUCCUAUGUGGUAUUGGUGUGCUGGAUAUCCCUUCACUGGUAGCCUGGUAACAUACACUCCCAGGUCUUUCUCUGCCUCUGUGGUGGAUAAUGGAGUGUUUCCCAUGUGGUAUUGGUGUGCUGGAUAUCCCCUCCCAAGGUGCAGGACU